GAGGAUUCAGACCAUCAGUUCAUUAUCGUCUGGUGUACAAUUCAUAUCUUAUAGUAAAUUGUCCAAACGCCGUUUGAUUCUGAACACAUUUCCGUGAACAGAUCACAUUCUUUAGGAAUUGAUAUUGUGCGAGUAAAACUGGGAAGAAACAUAAAUUGUACUGCAACUCCUCCCUUAGUAUGAAAUGGAUAAACAGGCCACAGUUAACAACAACAACAAAGGAAUAAUUACUUCCCGGAUAUGGCGAGUCGGCCACAGGUGUCAAUCUCCAACGAAGUUUCUUUAUUGAAAUUAUGCCCAGGAGAAAAUGUGUUGAAAGAGUCGUGCAGCUCACUGCUGUCGUUCAACCAUUUAUUUGUUCAAAAUCAUUGUAUUCUACUGAAUGUGCCAUCAAAAUGAAACAGGAUUCAUUAUAAUUGUCUGCUGUUUUUAUUGGACUUGCUAGAUCGCCAAUCCCAGCCAUGCCCCAAUUUUUAGUGUUCUUCAUCUCAGGUUUCUAACACAUUGGCAUGACAGAUUUGAUGAGAAGUCAUAUUUUGAAGAAAAAGGACAAGAACCAUACAGUCAACAAGGUUCCUUGUUUGCUAACCAGUUGGCCGCUACCCUUCAAUCUCCCUGUUUACUUCCUUACACAGGUCCUAUUGAUUUGAGGGUAACUCUUUCGCUACUGAUGACAUCAACUGUUGUAAACUGACGAGAGAAUGCUGCAAUUCAAGACUGAUACGUUGUGUAGUUGUUAGAUAAAUGACAAGUGCAUAUCUGGGCUCCCUUCUUUUCUGUGGCCCCGUUUCCCU